GUAUGCCUUACACUUGCAAGUCGAACGGUAGAGGGGCAACCCUUGAGAGUGGCGAACGGGUGAGUAAUACAUCGGAACGUGCCCAGUCGUGGGGGAUAACGUAGCGAAAGCUACGCUAAUACCGCAUACGACCUGAGGGUGAAAGCGGGGGAUCGCAAGACCUCGCGCGAUUGGAGCGGCCGAUGGCAGAUUAGGUAGUUGGUGGGGUAAAAGCCUACCAAGCCUGCGAUCUGUAGCUGGUCUGAGAGGACGACCAGCCACACUGGGACUGAGACACGGCCCAGACUCCUACGGGAGGCAGCAGUGGGGAAUUUUGGACAAUGGGCGCAAGCCUGAUCCAGCCAUACCGCGUGCGGGAAGAAGGCCUUCGGGUUGUAAACCGCUUUUGUCAGGGAAGAAAUCUUCUGGGCUAAUACCUCGGGAGGAUGACGGUACCUGAAGAAUAAGCACCGGCUAACUACGUGCCAGCAGCCGCGGUAAUACGUAGGGUGCAAGCGUUAAUCGGAAUUACUGGGCGUAAAGCGUGCGCAGGCGGUUCAUAAGACAGAUGUGAAUCCCGGGCUCACCUGGAACUGAUUGUACUGGGACUAAG
rnacentral:rRNA from 1 species